rnacentral:rRNA from 1 species
ACAAGCGGUGGAGUAUGUGGUUUAAUUCGACGCAACGCGAAGAACCUUACCAGCUCUUGACAUGUCCAGUUAUGGGUCUGAGAGAUCAGAUCCUUCGGUUCGGCCGGGUGGAACACAGAUGCUGCAUGGCUGUCGUCAGCUCGUGCCGUGAGAUGUUCGGUUAAGUCCGCUAACGAGCGCAACCCUCGCCGUAUGUUACAAGUGUCAUACGGGACUGCCGGUAAAAGCCGGAGGAAGGUGAGGAUGAUGUCAAGUCAGCAUGACCUUUAUAUCCAGGGCUACACACACGCUACAAUGGUCUGUACAAUUGGUUGCCAAGCCGCGAGGCGGAGCCAAUCCGUAAAGCAGGCCUCAGUUCAGAUUGCAGUCUGCAACUCGACUGCAUGAAGCCGGAGUUGCUAGUAACCGCAGGUCAGCAAUACUGCGGUGAAUACGUUCCCGGGUCUU